UGGGGAAUAUUGCACAAUGGGGGAAACCCUGAUGCAGCAACGCCGCGUGAGUGAUGACGGCCUUCGGGUUGUAAAGCUCUGUCUUCAGGGACGAUAAUGACGGUACCUGAGGAGGAAGCCACGGCUAACUACGUGCCAGCAGCCGCGGUAAUACGUAGGGGGCAAGCGUUGUCCGGAUUUACUGGGUGUAAAGGGCGCGCAGGCGGGAUAAAAAGUCAGUGGUGAAAUCCUACAGCUUAACUGUAGAACUGCCUUUGAUACUUUUAUUCUUGAGUUCGGGAGAGAGAGACGGAAUUCCAGGUGUAGUGGUGAAAUACGUAGAUAUCUGGAAGAACACCAGUUGCGAAGGCGGUCUCUUGGUCCGACACUGACGCUGAGGCGCGAAAGCGUGGGGAGCAAACA
rnacentral:rRNA from 1 species